AUUGAACGCUGGCGGCAUGCCUUACACAUGCGAGUCGAACGGCAGCACGGGUGCUUGCACCUGGUGGCGAGUGGCGAACGGGUGAGUAAUACAUCGGAACAUGUCCUGUAGUGGGGGAUAGCCCGGCGAAAGCCGGAUUAAUACCGCAUACGAUCUUCGGAUGAAAGCGGGGGACCUUCGGGCCUCGCGCUAUAGGGUUGGCCGAUGGCUGAUUAGCUAGUUGGUGGGGUAAAGGCCUACCAAGGCGACGAUCAGUAGCUGGUCUGAGAGGACGACCAGCCACACUGGGACUGAGACACGGCCCAGACUCCUACGGGAGGCAGCAGUGGGGAAUUUUGGACAAUGGGCGAAAGCCUGAUCCAGCAAUGCCGCGUGUGUGAAGAAGGCCUUCGGGUUGUAAAGCACUUUUGUCCGGAAAGAAAUCCUUGGCCCUAAUACGGUCGGGGGAUGACGGUACCGGAAGAAUAAGCACCGGCUAACUACGUG
rnacentral:rRNA from 1 species